rnacentral:rRNA from 1 species
AGAAACCAACAGGGAUUGCCCCAGUAACGGCGAGUGAAGCGGCAACAGCUCAAAUUUGAAAUCUGGCUUCGGCCCGAGUUGUAAUUUGUAGAGGAAGCUUCUGGCGCGGUGCCAUCCGAGUCCCCUGGAACGGGGCGCCAUAGAGGGUGAGAGCCCCGUAUGGAUGGAUGCCUAGCCUGUGUGAAGCUCCUUCGACGAGUCGAGUAGUUUGGGAAUGCUGCUCAAAAUGGGAGGUAAAUUCCUUCUAAAGCUAAAUAUUGGCCAGAGACCGAUAGCGCACAAGUAGAGUGAUCGAAAGAUGAAAAGCACUUUGAAAAGAGGGUUAAACAGCACGUGAAAUUGUUGAAAGGGAAGCGCUUGUGACCAGACUUGCGCCAGGCUGAUCAUCCGGUGUUCUCACCGGUGCACUCUGCCUGGCACAGGCCAGCAUCAGUUUUGGUGGGGGGAUAAAGGGCGCAGGAACGUAGCUCCUCCGGGAGUGUUAUAGCCUGUGUCGUAAUGCCCUCGCCGGGACUGAGGACCGCGCAUCUGCAAGGAUGCUGGCGUAAUGGUUAUCAGCGACC